rnacentral:rRNA from 1 species
CAGUCGUACCGGCGGAAAAUCAGCUCUUCGAGUGCGAACUUGUGGGCGUACGUGAGCUUUAACCGGCCUCGUUGUUUGCGAUGUUUGUGCUUUUUGGGUGUACUUUUUCGUAUGGUAGGCCAACGUCAGUCUCGGUCACCAUAAAAUGGCUGGAGGAAUGUAGCUUCGAUCUCGUAUUGAAGUGUUAUAGUCCGUUUGGUAGAUGUGAU